AUUCUUAUAGCGUAAAAGAUAAUUAUAUUCAUAUAUACUAUAAAGCAAAUAACCAAAGCAUAAAAUUUCUUUUACAGUGACACGUGGGCCCACAUCUAUCCAAAAUGCAUCGGAAGCUGGAAACCUACAGCUUUUAUCGAUUCGAGUCCAAAUGAAGGUCCUUGUCAAAGUCAGCUAACUAUGGAAUUCCCCGAGCCUAAAAUGUGAGGAAAUGAGGGUGGUGAGAUUAUAAAAUCCCAGGGAGUAAACAGAUACCAUCUAAACUAUCUAAAGUCGAGUAAAUGGAGACAAUUAAAAUAAAUCAUCAUAUUGUAAUUUCAUUACAUUUCAACUCAUUUCAACCAAAUAAAAUCAAUCCAUAAAAAUCGAGUAAUCAACUUGGCUUAUGAAUUUCUUAAAACUUUGGCUCGUGCCAAAACUCAUACUCGGUGAUACCUUGCGCAGGGCAUCCAACCGAGUCCGCCAAGGCUGUUAAAAUUUCAUGUACACUUAAAAUAUAUUUUUAGUUUGAGAAAAUACAGUCAUUCCUUGACGUUGGCUGAGUUCCCCUUCACGUGGUGGUUUAGCGUGAAGUGAACCCUAAGCUUUACCCCAAGAGAUACCCUACGCGCCUCUCCGUUCGGGGUAAGAAUAUAUUGGAGUUUACCGUGCCCCUCUAAUAGGCUGGUCCAUGGAACCCCCUCUGCAGUGAAUAAUUAACAUAUAAUCCACCAAUCAAUAACAUUCAUUCUAGCAUGACAUGGCAAUUUAUCACAACCUAGCCUCUCAAGGCUGAAUACACAGUAUAAAUAAUUCUAACACCAAAAUUAGUUUAGCCAUUCAUGCUCAUUUAUUGUCAUAAGCCAUUCAAUUCAAAACCAUAAAUUUACAACACAAGCAGGCAGUCUCCAAUUCCUCUAUUUUCAAAACUAGUAUUCGAUUUUUCCAGAAAAUUUAUAAAAUCAUUUUAUAAAAUUGUAAUUUCUCUUAAAACAUAGCAAUUUACCAUUUAAACCUAUUUUUCAUAAAAUCACACAAUUGUAUAAAACUACUAUAGAUAAUUAAGACGAUAAUAAGUUCACUCACAGUUUUAGGAGUCGAUGUACUCCUAAUCCCAGUCUCCAAGCACAAUCUCUCUACUUUUGCCAGUGUACUUUGCUCACCACCUAUCCACAAUGUACAAUACAUAAUUCACCACAUCAAUGCUUGACCAUUAUAAAAUCAAUUCAGGCUCGGUAUAUAUACAUGAUAUGAUAUACAACUUAUCAGACUACCGUUUAAAUGCGGUGCUGACCUAAUUCGGCCUAUUAUCUCUAAUUUAACUCAAAAUCAAUUCUUCUCACUUUCUACACUCCAAUUAUACCUAAAUUACCUUAAUAACUAUGAAUGAAAUUCAAUUUAUCAGUACCGAUAGCAAAUUACAAAAAUACCCCUAGUGGGUAAAAAUUCGUAUUUUUGCUCCGAAAAUUCCUAUUAUUUUUCUAGGCUCAUAAUUCAUCAUUUCUUAACCAAUUCUCCUAAAAUGAAAAUCAAAUUCAUCCUCACUAAACACAUGAUAAAUUCGGCCAUUAAUGAUUGUGGGAGAAAAUAAAUUUUUUUCUUGUUGUUUUGUUUCUAAAUAUGCUAAACUAACUUAAAACACUAACAUAACUUAAAAUCAAAUUAAUCUAACAACUUUCUCUCUCCUAACCCAUUUUUCAGAAUUGAAUUCAUCAUAAUAACUCAAUAUUCAACCAUGGAAAUCAAGAACAAAAGCAUGGGUAAGCUAGGUAUCAAGGAGAACUAAAGAAAUUCUAACUUACCUAGCUUGUUUCCUUGAUUUCUUCACUUUUUCUUUGAAUUUUUCACCUAGGUUUUCUUGUUUUUCCCUUUGUUCUUCCUCUCUUUCUCUCUCUUCCUUGCUUGGCCGGCC
rnacentral:lncRNA from 1 species